rnacentral:rRNA from 1 species
GAUGAACGCUAGCGGCAGGCUUAACACAUGCAAGUCGAGGGGCAGCAUGAUAAGUAGCAAUACUUAUUGAUGGCGACCGGCGCAAGGGUGCGUAACGCGUGAGUAACAUGCCCGUAUCAGGAGGAUAACCCGGAGAAAUCCGGACUAAUACUGCAUAAUAUCGAUUUAAGGCAUCUUAGAAUGAUUAAAGUUUCGACGGAUACGGAUUGGCUCGCGUGACAUUAGCUAGAUGGUAAGGUAACGGCUUACCAUGGCGACGAUGUCUAGGGGUUCUGAGAGGAAGGUCCCCCACACUGGAACUGAGACACGGUCCAGACUCCUACGGGAGGCAGCAGUGAGGAAUAUUGGGUCAAUGGACGCAAGUCUGAACCAGCCAUGCCGCGUGCAGGAUGACGGCUCUAUGAGUUGUAAACUGCUUUUGUACAAGGGUAAACCUCGGUACGUGUACCGAGCUGAAAGUACUGUACGAAUAAGGAUCGGCUAACUCCG